AGCAGCCGCGGUAAUUCCAGCUCCAAUAGCGUAUAUUAAAGUUGUUGCAGUUAAAAAGCUCGUAGUUGAAUUUCGGGGUUAGUAGGUUGGUCAUGCCUCUGGUAUGUACUGGUCUCACUGAUUCCUCCUUCCUGAUGAGCUGUAAUGCCAUUAAUUUGGUGUUGCAGGGAAUCUGGACUGUUACUUUGAAAAAUUAGAGUGUUUAAAGCAGGCUAACGCUUGAAUACAUUAGCAUGGAAUAAUGAAAUAGGACGUUCGAUCCUAUUUUGUUGGUUUCUAGGAUUGACGUAAUGAUUAAUAGGGAUAGUUGGGGGCAUUAGUAUUCAAUUGUCAGAGGUGAAAUUCUUGGAUUUAUUGAAGACUAACUACUGCGAAAGCAUUUGCCAAGGAUGUUUUCAUUAAUCAAGAACGAAAGUUAGGGGAUCGAAGACGAUCAGAUACCGUCGUAGC
rnacentral:rRNA from 1 species